UACGUAGGGUGCAAGCGUUAAUCGGAAUUACUGGGCGUAAAGCGUGCGCAGGCGGUUUUGCAAGACAGCGGUGAAAUCCCCGGGCUCAACCUGGGAACUGCCUUUGUGACUGCAUAGCUAGAGUACGGUAGAGGGGGAUGGAAUUCCGCGUGUAGCAGUGAAAUGCGUAGAUAUGCGGAGGAACACCGAUGGCGAAGGCAAUCCCCUGGACCUGUACUGACGCUCAUGCACGAAAGCGUGGGGAGCAAACAGG
rnacentral:rRNA from 1 species